rnacentral:rRNA from 1 species
GACGAACGCUGGCGGCGUGCCUAAUACAUGCAAGUCGAGCGGACGAAUCGAAAGCUUGCUUUUGAUUCGUUAGCGGCGGACGGGUGAGUAACACGUGGGCAACCUGCCCUGUAGACGGGGAUAACACCGAGAAAUCGGUGCUAAUACCGGAUAACACGAAAUGUCGCAUGACGUUUCGUUGAAAGACGGCGCAAGCUGUCGCUACAGGAUGGGCCCGCGGCGCAUUAGCUAGUUGGUGAGGUAACGGCUCACCAAGGCGACGAUGCGUAGCCGACCUGAGAGGGUGAUCGGCCACACUGGGACUGAGACACGGCCCAGACUCCUACGGGAGGCAGCAGUAAGGAAUCUUCCGCAAUGGACGAAAGUCUGACGGAGCAACGCCGCGUGAGCGAAGAAGGCCUUCGGGUCGUAAAGCUCUGUUGUUAGGGAAGAACAAGUAACGCAGUAACUGGCGUUACCGUGACGGGACCUAACGAGAAAGCCACGGCUAACUACGU